rnacentral:rRNA from 1 species
UUGACGGGGGCCCGCACAAGCGGUGGAGCAUGUGGUUUAAUUCGAUGAUACGCGAGGAACCUUACCUGGGCUCAAAUGUAUGUUGACGUAUUCUGAAAGGGAUACUUCUUCGGACAAUAUACAAGGUGCUGCAUGGUUGUCGUCAGCUCGUGCCGUGAGGUGUCGGGUUAAGUCCCAUAACGAGCGCAACCCCUAUCAUUAGUUGCCAUCAGGUCAAGCUGGGGACUCUAAUGAAACUGCCUACGCAAGUAGUGAGGAAGGUGGGGAUGACGCCAAAUCAGCACGGCCCUUACGUCCAGGGCUACACACGUGCUACAAUGGCCGAUACAGAGGGCAGCUACCUGGUGACAGGAUGCAAAUCUCCAAAGUCGGUCUCAGUUCGGAUCGGAGUCUGCAACCCGACUCCGUGAAGUUGGAUUCGCUAGUAAUCGCGCAUCAGCCAUGGCGCGGUGAAUACGUUCCCGGGCCUU